rnacentral:rRNA from 1 species
CGCGUAGGCGGUUUGAUAAGUCAGAUGUGAAAGCCCGGGGCUUAACCCCGGAAGUGCAUUUGAAACUGUCGAACUUGAGUAUGGGAGAGGGAAGUGGAAUUCCUGGUGUAGAGGUGAAAUUCGUAGAUAUCAGGAGGAACACCGGUGGCGAAGGCGACUUCCUGGACCAAUACUGACGCUGAGGCGCGAAGGCGUGGGUAGCAAACA